UACGUAGGGUGCGAGCGUUGUCCGGAAUUACUGGGCGUAAAGAGCUCGUAGGGGGUUUGUCGCGUUGUUCGUGAAAACUCACAACUCAAUUGUGGGCGUGCGGGCGAUACGGGCAGACUGGAGUACUGCAGGGGAGACUGGAAUUCCUGGUGUAGCGGUGGAAUGCGCAGAUAUCAGGAGGAACACCGGUGGCGAAGGCGGGUCUCUGGGCAGUAACUGACGCUGAGGAGCGAAAGCGUGGGGAGCGAACAGG
rnacentral:rRNA from 1 species